UACGUAGGGUGCGAGCGUUGUCCGGAAUUAUUGGGCGUAAAGAGCUCGUAGGCGGUCCGUCGCGUCGAAUGUGAAAACCCGGGGCUCAACCCCGGGCCUGCAUUCGAUACGGGCGGACUAGAGUUCGGUAGGGGAGACUGGAAUUCCUGGUGUAGCGGUGAAAUGCGCAGAUAUCAGGAGGAACACCAGUGGCGAAGGCGGGUCUCUGGGCCAAAACUGACGCUGAGGAGCGAAAGCGUGGGGAGCGAACAGG
rnacentral:rRNA from 1 species